rnacentral:misc_RNA from 1 species
GAUGAAGAACGCAGCGAAAUGCGAUAAGUAAUGUGAAUUGCAGAAUUCAGUGAAUCAUCGAAUCUUUGAACGCAUAUUGCGCCCCUUGGUUAUUCCGGGGGGCAUGCCUGUUCGAGCGUCAUUAUAACCCCUCAAGCUCAGCUUGGUGUUGGGGCCUGCUGCACUGGCAGCCCUUAAAAUCAGUGGCGGCGCCAUCUGGCUCUAAGCGUAGUAAUUCUUCUCGCUAUGGAGUCCUGGUGGAUGCUUGCCAUCAACCCCCAAUUUUUCUAUGGUUGACCUCGGAUCAGGUAGGGAUACCCGCUGAACUUAAGCAUAUCAAUAAGCGGAGGA